GAAAAUGUUCUUGAAUCAUGUAAAACUUCAAAUUUAUUCAAGAAUGUAUUAAAUUAUCCAGAAAGUAUAAGCUUGGAGUUAUCAUUAAAAAGUGCCUUGCACCAGAUAUUUUCAAUAAUUAGCUAUCGAGACCAUCCUCAGUUGU
rnacentral:lncRNA from 1 species